GAUGGUUAGCGGCGGACGGGUGAGUAACACGUAGGCAACCUGCCCUCAAGCUUGGGACAACUACCGGAAACGGUAGCUAAUACCGAAUACUUGUUUUCUUCGCCUGAAGAGAACUGGAAAGACGGAGCAAUCUGUCACUUGGGGAUGGGCCUGCGGCGCAUUAGCUAGUUGGUGAGGUAACGGCUCACCAAGGCGACGAUGCGUAGCCGACCUGAGAGGGUGAUCGGCCACACUGGGACUGAGACACGGCCCAGACUCCUACGGGAGGCAGCAGUAGGGAAUCUUCCGCAAUGGGCGAAAGCCUGACGGAGCAAUGCCGCGUGAGUGAUGAAGGUUUUCGGAUCGUAAAGCUCUGUUGCCAGGGAAGAACGCUUGGGAGAGUAACUGCUCUCAAGGUGACGGUACCUGAGAAGAAAGCCCCGGCUAACUACGUGCCAGCAGCCGCGGUAAUACGUAGGGGGCAAGCGUUGUCCGGAAUUAUUGGGCGUAAAGCGCGCGCAGGCGGUCAUGUAAGUCUGGUGUUUAAUCCCGGGGCUCAACCCCGGAUCGCACUGGAAACUGUGUGACUUGAGUGCAGAAGAGGAGAGUGGAAUUCCACGUGUAGCGGUGAAAUGCGUAGAGAUGUGGAGGAACACCAGUGGCGAAGGCGACUCUCUGGGCUGUAACUGA
rnacentral:rRNA from 1 species